AAACCAUGGCGAGGACACUGUCUUAAUAAACCUUUAAAUUUAUCUCAUGCCUCAAAUAGUGAUUCUCCAUCUACUUGAGAAAAAUUUGUGAUGUAAUUUCUCAUAU